GAGUGAAAUGUGGGGACUUUUGGUGCUCAAGAUUUGUCGUCGUUUAGGUACUACGGGGAAGAAAACCGUUUGCUCCGUUUGUCCCUAGCCGAGCUUGCAGCACAGAAUCGACAGGAUGCGUGGCCGGCAAGGCGGAAGAAGCCGCGUCCGAGGGAGAAAGUCAGGUGCAUGUGGUGACCAUUCUCAAAGGGAACUGCAGUUCCUGAGCGGACAUAUACAGCAGCUGUCGUUUUCUCGGAAGCAGGCACUCAUGCUUGGAGACCUGCAGAGCACAAACUGCAGCAUGUAUGCCGAAAUAAAUAGCUAUUGCCUAUUUCAAAUAGAACCAAUGUAAGGUGUGGCGAGCCCGGGAGACAGCAAGAGCCGCAGGAGUCCUGGACUAAGGGCGCCUCCCACACAAGCAGAAAGACACCUGCUUUUCCUUUCUUUUCUGUAAUAAAUGUUUUUUCUUCUCCUCCUC